rnacentral:misc_RNA from 1 species
AACGCACCUUGCACUCCUUGGUAUUCCGAGGAGCAUGCCUGUUUGAGUGUCAUGAAAUUCUCAACCUUUUCAGCUUUUUCUGUUGAUCAGGCUUGGAUGUGGGAGUAUGCGGGCUUCUCAGAAGUCGGCUCUCCUGAAAUUCAUUAGCGGGACCUUUGUUGCCUUGCUUUGGUGUGAUAAUUAUCUACGCCAUUUGUGAAGAGCAGCUUUAUAAAUGGGGUUCAGCUUCUAAAGGGUCUCUUUUGAGACAGCUUCUGACAAUUUGACCUCAAAUCAGGUAGGACUACCCGCUGAACUUAA